rnacentral:lncRNA from 1 species
GGUAAGUGUGGUGAUGCCUGGUUGUUAUCAGUAGGCUGAGAUGGAGAGAGUUAGGUGAGCCUCCAUCAUGGGGAACAGAAAAAAAAAAAAAACCCUGGAAUGCUAAGGGUGGCAUGAAGAAGGGAAGAGUGACCCUACUGUUGCCCCCAUAUUGAAAUUCUUCUUUAAUAAACCAGACAUUUUUGAUGAACCUGUAGCCCAGGAAGACUAUUGUAUCCCAUCUGUGGAAUCUUAGUCAUUAUGGAGUUGGCACAUCACCAGCCUCAUUGAAAUGACUGAGGUCAUAAAGGAGCUGGGAUUUAAUUCUCUCUUCUCUUCAUUUCUUAGCUCAAAUCAUCCUGGGAGACACCUGGGAACUAAGCUCAGCUGCAGGAUGGGCUCCCAGGAGGGAGGAGGAUGGGGUUAGCAUUGCGAUAGCUCCUAGGCAAGCACUAAAGUGAGAAAGAAGUUAUCAUGAGCUUGACAUCAAAAGGAUAUUAGUAGACUUGCUUCUUACACUAAGAGGGACUUUGAGAGGGGAAGCAGGUGGUCACUGGAAUUGCCUGAAUGAAGGCCUAAAUGUGGCAACACAUGGGUCUGGAUUUGGUUCCAGCAGGUUCUGACAUAAACACUAGGUACUUGCUGAGACUGGCCUCCUUGAGACCCUAGGAGGGGCCUCAGGUGGACACUGGCAAGCUUUGAUGGAUGAGUCCAUCCCAUGGUGGUGCCCCAGCUUUAGACAGGUGGAGAUGGGUGAGGUUGGAGCUCAUGACUGGCUGAUCUCGUUUUAGGCUGUUGGACUCUGAGACUGGUUGGGGUAGAAACCAAGAGCAGAGAAGAAAGCAGAGAGAAAGGUUGUUUGUUGAUUUUGGAGGAGGAAGAGGCGGAGGGGGGAAUAGGAUUAGCCUAGGCUUGGCUGGUAUCAAUCUCUCCUUAGUACCAGCUUGCACCUGCACUAAUGCUGGGCAUGGACCUCUCCUCUCCCCUUGUUUCCACUUGAAUAGGAGGGAGGGAGUAAUUUAGUGAAUCUGUUUCAUGGUGAAGGGGUGAAGGGGGCACCCAGAAAGACCCUGAGUGGUCAGGCAGGUUCUCAUAAUCUGCACAGGGGCCAGAAUGGGAACCGAGCUGGGAGAGCUCGGAAGAGAUCAAGUUUAUUUGUUCUUGUUGACUUCUUUUCAGACGCAUGGAUGACAGAGCAGAAACUGAAGUCACGUGGGGGAGACACAGACACAUGAACCAGGAGUCAGUGCCUGCAGUCACCUGGCAGAGACAUGUGAGAACAGCAGCAAGCAUCUCAGGCAGGCUUCCAGAGACCACCCUAAAGAAGAAGGUGUCUGAGAAGCCUCCCUCAAUGCUUUACCAAAGUCAAGCAUGCGUGCCCCUCCCCCUGCCACAUCCCCGGAGCUGUGAAUAGGAAGUUUAUCCUGGAGGCUUGGUGCUCUGAGCAAACAUGGAUCAGUAGAUGAUGAGACUGCUCUGGAUGGAGGUGAAGCCUGCUCAGGACUUUGCCUUGCUGUCUCUCCUCCUUCAUGGUAGACUAUCCAUUCAUGUUUGCUUUCUCUUUCCCAGUGAGCCACUGUUGACCCUGAAUCCUCUAUGCUUGUGAAUGUCUUCGUGUUGUUACCAUUUUGAUUAGUAGGUUAUGACAGGUGCCUCUGCCUCACUUAUCUUCGUUUGCACAUUUUUAUUUGCGUAUCACUCUUGUGGGUCUCUGUUGCUGUUCAUGUUGCAACUUGUCAUUAUUUACUUUUUCUCAGUAUUAUUGACUUUUCUUUAACCACGCUGAAACACCAUGACGAAGACAACGUAUGGAAGAGUUUACUUGGACUUACUGUUCCUGUGGAGUGAUAGUUUGUUGUAAUGGAGAGGCAUGGCACUAGCAGCAGGCGCAACAUGGGGGCAGCAGCAGGAAGCUGAGAACUCACCUUUUGAACCCCAAGCACAAAGCAGAGAGAACAAACUGGAAAUGGUGUGUGGUCUUUUAGUCUCAAGUCCAAGCCUCAGUGACAUACUACCCCCAGCGAGGCCAUACCACAGAAAGCUCCACAAAACAGUAACACCAAGCAGAGGCUAAGUGCUCUACUGCCUGAGACUAUGGAGAACAUUUCUCAUUCAAACCAGCACAAAAUGCCCAAGCUGAUUGAUUGAUUAAUUUGUAUUUGCACCAGUCUUAGUUAGAUUUGUCUGGAGGCAUCAGUCAGUGAAUGUACAGUUUAUCUACAUCAUCCAUCUCUCUAUCUCUGUCUCUGUCUUGUCUCUGUCUCUGUGUGUGUGUGCACGCUCAUACACAUGCAGCUAUGCCCAUCGGGUUCUGCAUGUAAACUUAAGCACACAGCUUUAGGAUAUGCUCCACUGUGGC